rnacentral:pre_miRNA from 1 species
UCUUAUGGAUGAGCAAAGAAAGUGGUCUCUUGAGACAGAAUCCUCUCCUGGUGAAGAUGCUGUGAA